ACCUCUAAACAAUCGCGACCUCCACGGCGGUCGGUCUUACCCGCGAGUGCGGCGUUUCUCGAAUGUUUUGAUCCUGUUUCUUGCCGGCGGAAGAUCAACACAGCGCAGAAUACACGCGUGGUGGCGAGUUAUUUCCGUAAUUCUCGUCGAUUAAAACACUUGGCCGCCUUACGGCCAAUGUUCCGUUCGAUCGGACUCAUUGAUCAAAACAUCGAUCGCUUUCGUUAACGAGCGUUUUCUCAUAGAAUCGUAUUGUACGCGAGGAUCUGAUAGCGCGGAUUAGUAUCGAUAUACUAUCGUCGAUGACAGGUAAAUAUCCGGAAUGACAGAUGAAGCAGAUAGGUAUCAGAAUGCUGAGUUCGGAAACAAACGAUACGUUAUUUUCAGAUCUGACAGAUCUUAUGACUGCAUCACGAAGGCUGCUGUAGUUCCGACGGGUGCUGUACCAGAGGAUUCGGGCCAAGCAGGGUCGGCUUGAAGAUUUGAAGCGGAACGUGGCUGACUCUGACUGCAAGUCGUUUUGGUGAGAGAAAAAGAAAAGAAUUUCUGGUGAGAGAAUUAGAUUGUAGGAUUUAAGUGAUAUCGUUGAAAUUAAUGCGAAUUGCUUGUAGAUUUUUGCAUGUUGAAUUUUUCUAUGUUUUUGCACACAGAAAAUACAUUCCGCUUUCAAGUAAAUGUUAUUUUCUUGAAGAAUUUCAUAAGUUUAUAUAUAUAAAG